rnacentral:rRNA from 1 species
AUUGAACGCUGGCGGCAGGCCUAACACAUGCAAGUCGAGCGAGAGGCGGACGGGUGAGUAAUGUAUGGGGACUGCCCGAUAGAGGGGGAGAACUACUGGAAACGGUAGCUAUUACACCAUACUACAGGAUAACCCAUAUGGGAUUAGCUUGUGGGUGAGGUAAUGGCUCACCUAGGCGACGAUCCCUAGCUGGUCUGAGAGGAGGAUCAGCCACACUGGGACUGAGACACGGCCCAGACUCCUACGGAGGCAGCAGUGGGGAAUAUUGCACAAUGGGCGCAAGCCUGAUGCAGCCAUGCCGCGUGUAUGAAGAAGGCCCUAGGGUUGUAAAGUACUUUCAGUCGGGAGGCGUUACCCACAGAAGAAGCACCGGCUAACUCCGUGCCAGCAGCCGCGGUAAUAC